ensembl:lncRNA novel transcript
GCACGUGUGUGUUUUGUGUAUUAUUGUCAGGAGGCAGGGAUGGUCAUGGAGGUCCCACCCCAAGGCUGCAACCUACAAAUGACACGUCUCAGCCCUGGUCUUUGGCCUUGACUUACACCAGAUCAGUGGGAAAAAGAAACAUGUAGGUAAAGUUGAUCCUUGAACAACAUGGGUUUGAACUGAACGUGUCCACUGAUUUGUGGAUUUUCUUCCACCUCUGUCAUUCCUGAGACAGCAAGACCAACCCUCCCACUCCUCCUCCUUCUCCUCAGCCUAGUCAAUGUGAAGACAAGGAUGAAGACCUUUCUGAUGAUCCACUUCUACUUAAUGAAGAGUAAAUGUAUUCUUUCUUCCUUAUGCUUUUCUGAAAAACAUUUUAACAUCUAAAAUAUGUGUUAAUUGGCUAUAUUAUUGAUAAGACUUCUCUGUUCAGUAGGCUAUUAGUAGUUAAGUUUUUGGUAGUUAAGUCAAAAGUUAUAUGCAGAUUUUUGACAUGUAGGGGAGAGGAGAUUGGCUCCCCUAAUCCCUGCAUUGUUCAAGAGUUAACUGCAAUUGAAAAUAAAAGCAAUGCUAAAUUGUUACACAAGUAUAAGCAACUAGAAUAAUUGUUUUUUCUCCUGAUGACUACUCUGAUGGUUUUCAAAUAAUAAAUUCAAUAAAAUUUUUUUAUUUCAGGUGCCC